GCCUGCUGAAUUGAACUAAACCAGGCUUCAGGAGUUAGGAAGCAUUUCAUCAGGUAAUGAAUGACACUAUCUUUUGGAAGGAAUUGGAGAUGAGGCCCCAAAUUUCAGUGAAAUGCAUUGGCUAUACCUUCACUUUAGGGUUACACAUUGUCAGAACUAUGUAAGACAACGAUAUUGCUGUCGUCCUGUCCUUGGUACCUGCUCAUUCAUACUUAAUACUACUUAGCAUAAUGCCAUCUCUGUGGAACACUAGCAGUCCACCCAGGGUAAUUUCUAGUCAGUCUCCUACAGUUUGUAUUGUAGACAAUAAAGGUGACCGGCCCUUUGGGGUCAUAAUCAUAGAAUGGCACAGAUCUAAAGCUGGAGACCCGGCCUGAGAAGUCAAUUGGUACAGCUCCCUCAUUUUACAGAUGAAGAUGCCGAGGCCCUUAAGCGAUGUGCCCAAAAUUACAUUGCAAGUAAGUGGCAGACUGGCAUUUGAACUGUAGUCCUCUACCAGUACUCUGGAGUCAGGUAGAACUUCCCUAUUGUUCCUCUCUUCCAUUGUAUGUCAUGCUGGUCCCACUCCCUUUUCUCCGAUCCCUUCACAUCAUUGGUUUAGAACAAUUUGAAAACCUGAUGUCAAUCUUUCUUAUCUGAGGACUUUUUAUUUCAGCCUUGCAGAGGAAUAUAAGCAAUUCAGUUGGCCAGGCUAAUCGAAGGGGAGCAGUGAAAAUCCAGAGGAGCCAAUAACUCUGAAGAACAGCAACAACUCCCAGAGCUCCAGGAUUGAGCCACAUCCCAUGCUUGAACUAAGAAUUCUCAUCGCUGCACUGCUGGCUGCUUCUGUCUUGCUGCCAUCCCUGGAGCUUCAUGAUUUCCUGUAAUACAUCUCUGCGUGUAGCUCUACUCUGUCAGACCUUCCUUCUCUUCUGUCCUCCAGGUUCCUUGUGGUAUAUGCACUUUCCCCUGUACCCCUUAACAACUAAACCUAAAAGUAAUAGCUAAGUGACCUUAGUUCGAACUUGAGUUUGUGCCAAAAGGUUAAUCCAAGAGUUAAUCAGUUUAUGCCUUGCUCAGGUAACAAUAUUCAGGUAACAGUAGAUGGAAGAAAAGUUGGACUAGAUGGCCCCUUUGGUCCUUCCACCUAUCAUUCCAUCAACAAAUAUUUCCUAAAGGCCUAUAUGUGCUAGGAACUUAUGUUAGAACCAGAUGGUCACUUUGGUCCCUUUCACCUAUCAAUCGAUCAAUAAACUUUAACUAAGGGCCCUCUAUGUAUUAGGUACUAUGCUAGUCACUGGAAAUACAAAAAGAAGCUGCCCUCAAGAAGCUCACAAUCUAAUACAUCUGUGAUCAUUACAUCCCCAUGAUAGGUUUAAAUGACAACUGUUGCUAUUUACUACCUACUAGUGUCAGUCAACUAGCAUUUUAAAGUCUGUACCCACUCUGUGCCAGGCAAAUAAAGGUGAAAAAACCAAAAUGAACCCUGUUCUCAAGGAGUUCACAAUCUAAUAAGGGAGGUGAGAGGCAAACUACUAUGUACAAUCUAUAGGCAGGAUAAACUUCGGGUAGUCUCAGAGAGAAGGCUCUAAGAGUGAGGACGACUAGGAAACUCUUCUUGCAGAAGGGAAGACGCUGGCUGAGACCUGAAAGAAACUAAGGAAACCAGGAAAGAGCAGAUGAGAUCACUGGACCUUAGGCAAGACUUCUCAGUCUUAAGAGCCUCAUGUGGGUUUUCUGUAACAUAAGAAGACGGAACUAUAGACAGGAUCACUAAGAGUCUUUCUAGCUCUGAAUCCUAUGAUUCUAUGCCAGGUCAGGGUAGCAGAGUCUCCAGACCCUGAAAAAUCUCUUCCCUGAUGAAUGGAAAACAAAUAAGAUGGGUGGACUCCUCAUUUCUCCACAAAGAGAAUACACCAUUCCCUUUCCUGGCUGCCUUACACAGAGAUGAAUCAGCUUUUUCUCUGUCUUUAAUCCCUAAAUGUGGUCACCUUGCUUUUGCCUCUUGGCAGGGUGUAGGAGGGACGUGGUCAGGAUGGCCUCUGAUGCUUCUUUGUGGGCUGUCGGAUUGCCUGCUCUGGGUCACUCUAUUCUGGGAGUUGCCAUUUGUCCAAUCUAGGCUCCCUCCUCCACCUCCCCUGCUCCUACCCCUUCUAUUUGUGGUUACACUAAAUGUCCCAGACAACCCCACCCUCCCACAACUAGGAGCCGUUAAAAAAAAUUCUGCUGCCUUUUAUCCUUUGGUUCUGUGGCACUCUUAAGAAAGCCCGGGAAACACCAAUUAGCCCCCUUCCCAAAGAGCAGGCAGAACUAGGCUGGAACGUGGGCAGAAUGUAACCCUGAUCCGCAGCCCAAUAUAGCUUUCCUGAGAACCUUACCCUGUAAUCUGUGCCUCAGGGACCGAACAGGGGAUCCAGAGUCUGUCAUUAUCCCCUGAAUGGGGGGGCACCUCCCAGGGAGUGGGUUUGGCCUGGGAUUCCCUCCCUUUGGUGUUUUACCCAGGGUCUAAGCCAGUCCUGUUCAGCAUAGUUGGGGCCAAAAGCAUUUGAAAUUAUGCCAGAAAAAAGAGCAUGGCAGCAGACUCUCAGGCUAUGGGACAAAUAAAAGUCAGACAGUGAGUGAUUGGCACUCAGCUGCCUUCCCCCAGAUUUGGCUGCCUUGAAACUGCUGUGGCAGAAAAAUAAUAACAUAAAUGACUCAUUAAUGUCACACUUGAAGGUUUACAAAGUGCUCUGACAGAAUGAGAAGGGAAUUUAGGGUACAUCCACCCUGUAGCUUGGAGACUUUCAGGAGGGUAGAGGAGAGCCCCUCAUCUCACAAGGCAGCCCCAAUCCACCUUUGGACACCUCUAAUAUUUGCUUGUUUACAACUUCUUCUCAUUCCUUUUGGCUUUGGAGACCAAGUAGAAUGAGUCUAAUUCUACUUUUAUAGAACUACUCUGCAAAUCUUUCAUUGGGUCAUAGGCCACAGAGUCAGAGGAAAUUUCAGAGACCAUCUCCUCAGCUCAUUUUACCAAUUACGAAACUAAGGCUUGAGGAGGAGGUCAAGAUCAAAUAGGCAAUAAAUGAAUUGAGAAGCUGUUCCUCACGUAUAUUGGAGAUGUUGUGUGGGAGGCAGACUAGAUAUCGCUAGGAUUUUCUUACACCACCCCCCCCACCUUCUCCAAAGGGCAUUUUUAUUCCCCCUAGGAGGAGAAGCAGAAAGGUGGGUGCAUGACUUUAUCCACUCUGCUCUCUCUAGAGACAAGUAGUGUUGGGCUAGAAUUAAAUAGUAGUCUAGGAGAUCUGAUCUUCAGGUUCAGGCUUAUUUCCAAUUGCUAUUUUAUUAUGGGGAAAGGAAGAGGACUCCAACCUUUAUAUCCAAAGCUUGACUCCUUUCCCCCCAAUUACCGGAUUCUACAAUGAUAGCAAUUAGUAGAGAAGUCCCCAUUUAUCCAAAUCAUAGCAAAACAGAAAGUAGAGAAAAUAUAUAUAUAUAUAUAUAUAAAUAUAUAUAGCAGAAUGGCAACAAGUUUAAGUACAGUGGUUGAGUGCCAGCCUGUAAUCAGGAAAACCUAAGUUUAAAUCUGGCCUCAGACACUUAGCUGUGUGAUCUUGGGCAAGUCACUUCACCCUCUCUGUCUCAGUUUAUUCAUCUGUUAAAUGAACGGGAGAAGGAAAUGGCAAGCCAUUCCAGUGUCUCGGCCAAGAAAACCCCAAAUAGAGUCAAGAAAAGUCAGACUGGAAAAAACUACAUAACAACUCCAGCGGAUCCUUAUGGUGCACAUACUUGAAAACCUCCGCUAUCCUGACUGCCUUCCUUUGAUGAACUCCAGUUUGUAAAAAUCUUCCCCAAAAUGUGGUGCUCAGAUCUGAACCUAAGCUUCCAAAUGGGAUAUGAGCAAUGCAAAGGAUAGAAGAAAUUUACCUCCCUAGUCAUGAUUUUUUUCAUUUAGUUUGUUUUUUAUCAUGGUAUGCUAUUUCUCCUUAAAGUCCUACUCCACUGUCUUAUUAUGAAGUGAAAAUGAUCUUGGGCUGGUUCUACUAUUCCAAAUAAAUACCAACACACAAGCUAAUGGUGCAGUGGAGAGAACAUGAGGCAGGGACCAGAAAGACUUGAUUUCAAACUAGCCUGAGACUCUUACUGUAGUUGUCUGACCCAUGACCAGAUUUCUUAACCUCCAUCUCAAAUUGGGGAUAACAAUAGUACCUCCCUUCCAGAGUUUGUUAGAAGGAUCAAAUGAAACAGAAUUUGUAAGAAGAAAAAAAAAAGUCUAGCACACAUUUAUGUAGGUACUACAUAAAUGCUUAUUCUGGCUCCAUCCUCUAAUCCUCCAAUCAGAAGGGAAAGAUAACUAAGGAUGCUGAAGAGGUGUUGAAGAGCAAAGCCGAAUCCUCACAUUCAAGAGAGUAACUGAUUGUAGUAAAGGCCUAAUCUCCUGCCAAAGCUCAGCAGAGCAAUGUUUUGUAGGUCAGCACUCAGACUUUUUUCUGGGGUUUCUCCUGCCCCCUCCAUCACUUUCUGGAGCUGCUACCCAUCCUCCACCUUGCUAAUGCUAAUCUUCCCAUUAAACACUAUACCACUUAGUUUUCCCCUCUCUCCUCAGAUUCUGAAGCAUUUCUUCUAGUUAUUCACAAUCCCUCUGUGUCCCAUGGUAUUCUCUUCCUUUUUUGCAACUGCCUGCACCCCAUUCCCAUCCUGAUGCCUUUCUCCUUCCUACUCACUGAUACUACCCCCAAACCCUUGACUGAAGUUUUUUUCCCCCAAUUACCCACAGUCCCCCACCCUAAAAUUCUGAUUUUUUUUUUGUCCUCCUAGUUUGGGUGCAUCUCCUCAUUUCCUAGGUGUGUUGUUGCUUAUCCCUCCCUUAUCCAUACCAUCACCUUCUCCUGACUAUUAGAAAAGUGUAUAUUGAGGUGGAAAAAAGUAAUAAAAAAUAAAUGCUUAUUAUUUUACUUGCCUCCCCUUCCAUUUUCUUUAUGUCUCCUUUCUGAGGACCAACCUAGCUAAGUAUUAAGGGACUUUUCAUUAAGUUUUCUCCAGAACAACCAAAAUUCAUCUAGACAAACAAACCAAACACACAAAAUUAUAAAACAGGCUGCGGUUUGAAUGACUGCCUUUGGUUUGGUGAUGAAAAUAGGAAAAUGGUGGAGGAAGCAAAGGGUGCUAAGAAUCACAAAUUAUCUGUAGAAAUUAAACAACUGAUAAUAUGCUAAAUGUGAGAUCCUUGUCCAGUGAGCGUGCCUUUAAAGAACUGGCUUUCAAUAAAUUUAACAUUCCUAUUACUAAUGAAACCAAAAGACAAAAGAAAAACUAGUUGCUAAUUGGAAAGAAGGUUUAAGGUUCUCUCUCAUAUGUACAAAUGAAGGGACUGAAGUUGGUUUCAUUGUGUACAAAGAUAAGAAAUUUCAUUUCAGAGGAUACUGUGCUAUUUCAUAUUGUAUUACUCAUACAAUAAACAAUUGCAAAAGAAAGAUAAUUGCAGCAUAUGUGAAACUGGCAUUUAUAUAAAAUCCAAAUCUAUUGUAAAGGAUGAGGAAGUAGAAAAAUUAUGUGAAGACUUGUGUGGAUCAUGUUACCACUCAAUGAUUUCAAUGCUAGGGUGGGCUUGGGGGAAGAUAGCAGUAUGACAUGCUAGAAGAUGUUUAGCUUGUAGACAAGCCAGGUCAGUGGCAUAUAAACCAUACCAAAAGGAUGCCUUCCAAGGGAAGCUGCAAGGGCCAGUGGAAAGCCCAUUGUCUCUGGCAAUAGAGGGCCUAAAGUCUCUUAUUCCAGUGCUUUCUCUCUAUUGCUUAUUUUCUAUUUACCUCACAUAGCUUGCUUUGUAUAUAUUUGUUUGUAAUUUUCACUCCCAGUAGGUUGUAAAUUCCUUAAAGGCAGCGAUUAUUUUUUGCUUUUUUGAGGACGGCACACAAUAGGUACUUAAUAAAUAUUUCAUUGAUUGAUUGGAAUUUCAGUUCUGUUAUUUGGGUGAAGCACUACACAACGCCUCCAUUUUCUCAUUUGUAAAAUGGCAGGUUGGACAGUUGACUUCUACCAUCCCUUCCAAUUCUAAAUAUAUGACUGUAAUUAUGGAAGCUUUUCAAAGACAAUCAAGAAACUGGAGGUGGUGAAGAACUGUUGUUGUUAUUGUUUAAUCUCUAAACUCAAGAAAACCUGAGUUCAAAUUUGACCUCAGAUAUUUACUGUAUGACCCUGUUUCACCCUCUUUGUCUUAGUUUCCUCCUCUGUAAGAUGAGCUGGAGAAAGAAAUGGCAAACCACUCCAGUAUCUUUGCCAAGAAAAUCCCAAAUGGGGUCAAGAAGAGUCAGACACAACUAAAAAACCUGAACAACAAAAGUGUUAAAUAUCUAUCAUACAGAUAAUAUGGAAGUUAGUUUUUAUUAAUGUGUGUUUAAAAGAAUUGUACAUGUUUAACAUAUAACAGAUUACUUGCUGUUUACAGGAGGGGAUGGGGGAAAGGGAAGGAGAAAAAUUUGAAACACAAGUUUUGCAAGGAUGAAUGCUGAAAACUAACUUUGCAUAUAUUUUAAAAAUAAAAAGCUAUUCAUAAUGCAGUUCAAGUUCAUGUGACCAGUUCUGGACAGCAAUCAAUAACUUUGUUCUGUUUCCAAAGUUUAGGUUGAAGAUGUUUUGGCUUUUGGUGGCAAGGGGGUAAAAUCCUUGGCAAGGGGAGAAGACAUGGCUUUACGGGUAAAGCUGGGAGGCAGAAGUCCAGCACCAAAAAAAUCUAAGCUUCCUUGUCUCAGCCCUUCAUGGACCAAGUUAACCAAGGUGGAGCUUUUCAAUAAUAUGGGAAAGACGGAAGUUAAGGGGCAGCUAAGUGGCAGUACAUAGAGCACCAGCCCUGAAGUCAGGAGGACCUGAGUUCAAAUGUGACUUCAGACACUUGACACUUCCUAGCUGUGUGACCCUGGGCAAGUUACUUAACCCUAAUUGCCUCAGUUUAAAAAAAAAAAAAAAAAAAAGACUGAAGUUAGCAUGGCUGCUACUCUGAUUUAAAUUCUUCAUCAAACUGUCCAGUUUUAAUGUGCAUAACUACAAGGCAGAAGCUGUACUUAGUAUCAGAGAAAAGAGUCAAAUUCACUUUGUUCACCUGGAGUGGUUAGUGAUAGAAGCCAUGAUUGAAAAUUCUACAAACAACAAGAGAAAACUGUUUCUCUUUAUGAAUGAAGAUAGCAGAUUUUUACCUAUAGUUCUAAAAAUAGAGACUGACAUUCUCCAGCAGAACCAAUAAGUAUUCAAAAUGGAUAAUCAUCUUGCAUAAAAACCUGAUAAAAUUCCUUAAUAUUUGCCCUUGACAAUUAGCCCUGUAAAUUAACAAUCACUUUAUAAGUAGUAUUUGAAUAAAUGUUUUUUUAAAAAAAAAAGGCUAUUUUAAAAAAUUAUAUUAAUGUGCAAAAUAAAUAUAGUACCCCAAGAAACUAGUAAUCUCUUGCUUCCAAUUCCCUGGAUAAGGUGGCUUACAACCUAUGUGACUUUUGAACAAGUCAUAUAAUGUCCUUGAGCCCCAGUUUCUUUAGCUGUAAAUAAGAGUCUUGAGCCCCAAUAUCUUCAGCUGUAAAUAAAAGUCUACUUUAUUGAACUACAAAAAAGUAUGCUGAGCCCUGGUAAACACAAUUGCAAGCAGAAAAAAAAAAAAAAGCAGUGAUUGCUACCUUCAAGGAGCUUAUGUUCUAAUGGAAGGAGAUAAUAUAUAAAAGGGAACUGGAAGGGUACUUAGUGGGAGGAUUGAUAAAGUUUAAUGGAGAUGAAUUAGUGCAACCUAGAGAUGAAUAAAGACAUAACUGGCCUAGUCCAGGAGGUCCUGGUUCUAGUAGAAACCAACCAAUCAUUCAGAGAGGCUCUGAGGGAUUGGGGUUGGAAAAAGAAAAGUAUGGGAAGGGGCUCCAAGUAAUCCAGGGAUGACAUGAACUUCCAGAGUGAAGAGGUUUCUGUAGCCUGGUAAAAGUCCUAUGGAGACAAGUCAGCUGUGUAGUCUAGGAAUGUCAAGAAGAGAGAUAAGGCAACAAAGGACAAUAUUGGUUUAGAAUAAAAAUGUAUUUGUAAAAUUUUAUGAUGGAGGAUAUUGGAAGCUCACAAAUAAUAUUGCCUCAUAAAACAGAAGCAGUGAAAGGAAAAGCAAGCACGGGGAAACUUAUUACACUACCCAAUGAAAAAAUAAAAUAAAUAAUAAUAAUCCUGAGAUGAUGUAAGGAUGAAAUCAAGAAUAACCAGAUAAAAAGAAAAGAUCUGUAAAACUUAUAAUCUGAGACUUUUUCUCUAGUGUGCAGCAGGGACACCAGAAGGGCUAUUAAAGGGGAAAAAAAGAUGGGAAUAACUAUUGAAUGGGAUUAAAUAUAUAUACAAAGUAGAUGUAUGUAACAUAAUUGUGAUUAUGUCAAGGAAUAGAUUCUCAGUAUAUCUGAGAGGAUACACAAGGCUCAGAGAAAAAAAAUUCAAAUCUUUUUAAUUACCCUUUGCUCUCCUCACCAUAAAAAGUGACUAAGAAAAUGUCAUUAUAUAAUGACCCAUAUGGCUGCUUUCUGACUUCUAUGCAAUUUUCGUAAGACUAAUCUAUGUAAUUUUUUCAUUUUUUUAAAGAAAAUUUUUACUUCAGAGAUGUAUAUUAAUAUCUACAUGUAUGUAUGUAUACACACAACCUCAGGAACAUACUCUUCCCCAUAUUACUCCAAACUCCAGAGGAGUAGGCUCAAAAUUUGGUUUGGUCCUAAAGAGUAUUGAUUAUACCAAAUUCAUGUUUAGAUGAAGCAGAAAUACUAUAUGAGUUCUCAUCUCAGCUUCAACUGGCUUGAGUCUAAAAGGUCACUCCUCAUUCCUUGGGGUUUCAAUACUGAUUUGGCUACAAAAUUCAUUCUAGAACACUGGGGUGCCAAUGUACCCAAGAUACCCAAUGUAUCUUUUAUUAUUUAAAAAGUAAAUAGAAAAAUAGGAAGAAAAUGAAAUAGAAAAAAGAAAAAGAAAAAUUUGUCAUGUCCGCAUCAGAACACACAAGAGAAUUCAAAAAUAUGUAACAAUAAAUUUCUGUUUCAAGAAAAUGUAUAUAAUAGCAUAUUGUAUUCAGAAUUGUCCAUCUUUUCUUUGCUUCCUUGUAGAUUUUCUUUUGUUCUCUCCUGGGCACUUUUUACUUUAUUCUUUUUUCCCUUCCUUGCCCCUGCCCCAAACAGGCUACAAUUAAGUACAGAUAUGUUUAUGUGAGUAGGAUUUCAGAACUACCAGUCCUCCUUCCCCAUCUAAUUCCUCUGUGUCAGUUCUUGUUCUUGCACCUUGUUUAUAUGAGAUAAUUAUUCUUUUUACCUUUUCCUACACAGUUUUACUUUUUAAUAAUUAUAUAUCACACUUAGCUCUAUCCCA